UUUAGAAUUUUAGUUAGAGUAACCGUUAUUUGAUUAAUAUAGUUUGCUUAAUAUUGUUUGUAUGAGUUGUUGGGAUAAAGAUUUCCCAUGAAUGUUGCAUCAUAUAUGCAUUAUUGGGCAUGUUUAUUGCAUAAUGUUGAUGUACUUUUGGAGUUUCCUUUAUUGAUUUUAUAAUUAUUCAAAAUGUAGCAUAUCCAGGAGCUUAUUCGUUAUCUGCAAUUUGGACUCUGAUGGCUGGCUCUUGGUGUAGCAUCAUCUAUUGGUCUUGGUAAGUGCGAGUUAUAUUCAAAAUAGCAUGAAAACUCACAACCUGGAUACUGGAAAUCAUUAUACAAUCCAUACUUGAGGGCAAGUUCUCUUUUCUUUUUUGUUUAGUGUGGAUUCUCUCUCUUUUGGAGUUUCCUUUAUUGAUUUUAUAAUUAAUCAAAAUGUAGCAUAUCCAGGAGCUUAUUCGUUAUCUGUAAUUUGGACUCUGAUGGCUGGCUCUUGGUGUAGCAUCAUCUAUUGGUCUUGGUAAGUGCGAGUUAUAUUCAAAAUAGCAUGAAAACUCACAACCUGGAUACUGGAAAUCAUUAUACAAUCCAUACUUGAGGGCAAGUUCUCUUUUCUUUUUUGUUUAGUGUGGAUUCUCUCUCUUUUGGAGUUUCCUUUAUUGAUUUUAUAAUUAAUCAAAAUGUAGCAUAUCCAGGAGCUUAUUCGUUAUCUGCAAUUUGGACUCUGAUGGCUGGCUCUUGGUGUAGCAUCAUCUAUUGGUCUUGGUAAGUGCGAGUUAUAUUCAAAAUAGCAUGAAAACUCACAACCUGGACACUGGAAAUCAUUAUACAAUCCAUACUUGAGGGCAAGUUCUCUUUUCUUUUUUGUUUAGUGUGGAUUCUCUCUCUUUUUUUUUUGUAAUUUCUGGUGCUUUCAGUAACUUCAAUGAUAAUUAGUUUUUUUUUUUCCUUUUUG
rnacentral:lncRNA from 1 species